rnacentral:tRNA from 1 species
GCCUGGGUGGCUCAGUCGGUUAAGCAUCUGACUUCGGCUCAGGUCAUGAUCCCGAGGUCCGUGAGUUCAAGCCCUGCAUCAGGCU